UACGUAGGGUGCAAGCGUUGUCCGGAAUUAUUGGGCGUAAAGAGCGUGUAGGCGGCCCGACCAGUCCGCUGUGAAAGUCCAGGGCUCAACCCUGGAAUGCCGGUGGAUACUGUCGGGCUAGAGUCCGGAAUGGGCGAGUGGAAUUCCUGGUGUAGCGGUGAAAUGCGCAGAUAUCAGGAGGAACACCAAUGGCGAAGGCAGCUCGCUGGGACGUGACUGACGCUGAGACGCGAAAGCGUGGGGGAGCAAACAGG
rnacentral:rRNA from 1 species